UAUAUGAUUUUGAUAACCCAAUUUUACGUAUUUCAAAAUUAAUAAUGUAAUUAGAAAAUAUUUGGAGAAUCAUGCACUUUCAGCUUAUGUGUAUUUUAAUGCCAAAAAUACCCUUCACCUUGCCAGCUAAGCGUUCCACAUCUGAAAAUUCAUAAGAGAAAAAACCCUCAGAAAAGCCACAAAGCCAAUAUUUCUCUCAUAUACUGCUUUUCCCAUUCUCUCCCAUUCUCAAUCUCAGAAACCCAAAAUGCUGUAAAACCUAACCUCUUUCAUUUCUGUAACAUUCUCGUCUCCCAUUUUGUUGAUAAACAUCAACAGCCCAAAACCUAACUUUCCCAAAAAAAAAGUAAUAAUGCUGCGGAGGAGAAGAAUUUAUGAGGUGGAUGUGUUGGUAAAUGAGAAACGAAUCAGAAGGAAGAGACACGGGACUACGGGAGGAAAUCGGGAAAGGUGAUAUCCUUAUUGUUCCCAAAUUACUUGAUCCAGAAACCCUAAUUUCUGAAACGAAGGUCAGAUCCGGGGAAAAUUGGUGAUCGGAAUCAAUGGUGGGUGCAUCGAGCUCAUGGUCUCGCGCACUGGUUCAGAUCUCACCUUACACCUUCUCCGCCAUCGGCGUUUGCGUCUUGGGUGCCGCUUGGGAAUUUAUAUAACUGGAAGUAGUUUAAUUGGUGUUGCCUUCAAAGCUCUUCGGAUUACUUCAAAAAAUCUGAUCAGGAGAACAGAAAAUGAAUAAACUUCCAGCUAUCAAAUUGACUAGUGAACAAAAAGGUUUCAGCUAACAAAUUGAAACAACAGGCGGUCAAGGCUUCCUACGAACAUGAAAGGCAAAAAUAUGCUGAAACUUCUCAAUCAAUACCUUCUUAUUCUUGCCCAAAUGGGGGUAUUAUUUCUUCUCAUUAUUUUCCUUGUUAAUUUGGUUACAAUUGAAGUGCAUUGCAUUAGCAUUGAGUCCAUAGUUUUGAAUUCUUAUUCCAUUGGUUUUGAACUUUGAAGUUUAUUUAGACAGUGUAACUUGUCCAAAAGAAAAACAGUGGAAAGUUCAAAAUUCUGAACCAUGUUUACUUCAUCCUGGAGAUCCUCCUAGAAGACUAAUUUUCACCCAAAUGAUUAGAUGUUGUCAAAUAUUAUUUGACUAUGUGGCUUAUUUCUACAGGUGCGGCCUUAUAAACUGUGGAUUGAAAUGGAAAAUAUUGAGAAAGGAUUGUAAAAAUCAUUGCUCAGAAUAAUAUAAAAUGGCUUGUUAUGGGAGCUGCAGCAGAUAAAUAUUAUUCAAAGUAUUAACCAUCUAUUACAAGUUCUUAUUGUUGACUGCAUUGAUUUAUUUGAUAUUGUUGUAGAAUUACUUGAGGCUUCCACCCUAGGCAUUUGGGAUAAAAGUUUUGUUGAAUUUAGUGGAAUUUCUAGAAGCUUCUACAAGAAUUAUCCAAUAUUAGUGCACAAGUAUUGUUGCUCUGUAGGAGGCCUCUUGAUGUAGCCUAGUCGGUUAUAAAUUGCUAUGAAGAUUAACCUAAUUUUAAGUCAUAAAAGAUCAGCUCCUUAUAGUGCUAUACUUUUCUUUUCAGCAUUUGAGGAAUUAAAUUGGCAGACAUAUCUUUUCAAUAUAUUUCUCAGGCAGUUGAUAAAGUUGGGUUAUUUCUUUUGUGUUAGAAUCAAUGUUGCUCUGGCGCUUCAAAAUAUGUGAUACAUGUAGAGGGUUAUGGAUUGUGAGCUAUCAAUGGGAGCAUCCAUCAAAGAAAAGAGGAACACGUUCCUAGUAUACAGGAAGUUCCACAGUAUACUUUCUUAAUUUGUUCCUCUUUUGAAUGAUAUCUCAAAACAAGCAAAGCACUCACAUUGCAUAUGCUAUGUUGUUUUAACAAAUCAUUUACCCAAGCUAUGAAAAAAAAAAACAAAAGGAAAAUUGGAUGCUUUGAUAAUUUAGCCAUGUCUUUAUAUUUGAGGAUUAGAUGAAUUGAUACCUAAACACAUUGGAGAUUGAUCAAACUUAUGUAUCUAAUUCAGAAACUUAUUGGUGUUAGAAUUAUAUAAUCUUAUUGUGAACCUUUUAUAUCAUUGCCUUCUAACUAGAUAACUUCAUCCUCUUAGUUAUUUAAUAUUUUAUAAGUACGUAUUCUUUAAAAGAAUUUGAAGACUGUAGCAUGUAACAACAUGAUUGAGAAUGAAAAUUUCAGCAAAAGGAAGAAAAUGUUUAUUUAAAGUUAAGUUGCUUGUUGCCUUGAUUUUAACUCAAGGCAUUAGCUUUGGUAUGUGCCUGUGCAAUUAAUUAUAAUCAAGGUAUUGUUUUUAGGCUGAUAACAUUAAAAUGCCCUGAUAACCUUAAAAUGUGCAGAUAUCAAAAUAGGUAAAACUUAUACCAAUUUAAUUGAACUUGCAUUUGCUUUCAGUUUCUAAAUUUACUGAUCCAGACUCAUGAAGAUUGCAGGAAAAUGGUUAAGGUCAAGUCAUUCAGAGAAAAAGGUGGAGCCUGAGGCAUCUUUUGAAAUUUUGACCAACCCACCGUGGGUGGUUCCUGCUGAGGAGAAGUUCAUUAAAUUUCUGGAAGAAAGCAGAUAUGUCCCAGGGGAAAAACUCAUAAAGAAAGAAAAAAAUGUGCAUUUGUGUUGAGCUAGUACAACAUGAAUAGAUUUUGUAACUCUUUUGUAUUAGUGAACUAUGUUUUGUUCUUCACUUACCUUACCAUCCCCUCCCCACAUUUCUCAGAAGCAAAAUAAUGUUCUCAAAUCUCUCCCUCAUUGUAACUGUGUAAAUGUGGGUCUAAUUGAAACCGGUCUUGUUUGUUUCAAUCCAGUAGCUUGAUUUUUCUUCA